UAAUUAGCCAUAUAAAGGCUACAGCCUGUCAU
rnacentral:piRNA from 1 species